ensembl:lncRNA
CUGACAGAAACUGGUUGUGAAAAAUUUAUUAAAUCUUUUACAGUUAGAAGCAGCAGUAGAACUUCUGGAACAUGGAGCCCUGCAACACAAACAGUCAGCUGGUAGCAGAUCCAAAGAACAAAUCCUGAGAGCUCAGAGACCCACCUCCAACAUGUUCAGUAUGCUUUGACUGGAACUUGGUCGCCCUUUGGAGGCAGGUAGCCUUUCGGAGGCAGGUAGCCUGGGUAGCUGAACACUGGACUGUACAGAGAGUCAGUGGGGACGUAGCGGGUCUGAGAGAAAUGGGCUCUUCCUCUCCUGUAGCGGGACCGAGAGUGGAAGUUGUAGACUGGAUCCAGACCGGACACAUCAGUGAAGAAGGGCCCAUCAGGGGUCUGGUCAGAGAUCUGGUCAGUGCUCUGGUAGGUGUAGACACCCGGAUAGCCGCCGUAGAAGCCUGUAUAGCCGCCAUAGACAUACUUGACCUGCUGGUCGGGUUUGGUGGUUGUAGUGGGGACGGUCGGGUCAGGACUUGUUGGUCCGCUGACCCAGGGUCCCGGAUAAUAACCUCUGGGGUUUGGUUCUCUGCCUGCUGCUAGUCCAGAAUCUGAGGAGAAACAGGUUAGUAAGGAGACAGCUGAGAGCUUCAGAACAGCUCAGUGAGCUUCAUUAGCAUCCACUGACCUUGUACAGGCAGACAGGUGAUGCUUCCAACCAGCAGACAGGAAAUCCACAACAGCCUGAAGACACACCAGAACAUUUCAGAGCAAAUUCAGUUUACAGAGAUAAAGUCUGGCAGCAAGGGUGCCAGAAAGUGAAAUAAUGCAACAUCCCAAAUAGUAAUAGUUCCCUUGUACAGUUACGAGACAGAAAUGUAGAUCUGGACAUUAACCAAAGUUCUGACCCCUUUUAAUGUGGUCAGCAUGUAAAUUAUGAGCUUGUGCCAAUGGUUUAUACAUUUAAACUGAAGAUUUUAAUUGUUUUUCCAGGAAUCAAUUUUUAAGAACAUUUUGUGGUGAUUGAAAUAUAGUAAAGAAUUAAACUAUAAUGCAGAUUUGAUAAAUAGUUACAGUUCCAGCAUUUUGUUAUUGUUAAUUUUUUUCAGAUUCUUCCACUGUAAUUUAACCAAAGCACAGAAAAAAGUCAUUUCAUGGAGCUACAUGAUGUUUCAGUGUUUAGACUCUUCAGAUUCUGAUCUCAGCCUCCUGCUUCACUGACUCACCUCAUUGUGAUUGUGAGUAGAUCUAAAGCCGACCCGUGACCUGCCUCCAACGUGCUGCAGACACACAAAAACACACUAAGUUGAGCUGCAGACACAAAGAAGACAAUGAGAGCAGAUCCAGUCGUUACCUUCUAGCAGAGCUGCAACUUCGUCCCAACAGGAGCUGAUCUAUGGAGCUUCAACCUGCAGCAGCUGCUUUAUAUGAAGCUCAGAGCAGAAGCAGCUGAUUGGAGCUGAUUGAUCAGAGACAGCAGCUGAUCGUCAAUGAAGCUCAGCUGCACAUUGUUGAAGCUCUGAGAUCAGUCUGAGGUGAAACUCACCUGCUAGAAGAUACACAACAAAGAUCUCAACUGGAAAAUCCUCCUACAGUCCAACACUGAUGAAGAAAUGAGUCUGAAAACAUUCCUCUGCUGAAACACAAACAUGGAAAUCAGAGUCUGAAGGAACUAUUGACGUUUUAAUGUCAUGGAGAUUUAAUAAAAGGAUGGCAAAAAGACAUAAAACAAACACAGAGAGAUUGAAAAGAAGGCAAAAAACUGAAAAUGAUUCAAAAGAGACACAAAACAACAAAAACACUCAAACAUUUGUGUCUCUUUCGGGUAAUUUUGUAGAUUUCCUGGCUGGUUG